UACGUAGGGGGCAAGCGUUGUUCGGAAUUACUGGGCGUAAAGGGCUCGUAGGCGGCCAACUAAGUCGGAUGUGAAAUCCCCAGGCUUAACCUGGGAACUGCAUCCGAUACUGGAUGGCUUGAAUCCGGGAGAGGGAUGCGGAAUUCCAGGUGUAGCGGUGAAAUGCGUAGAUAUCUGGAGGAACACCGGUGGCGAAGGCGGCAUCCUGGACCGGCAUUGACGCUGAGGAGCGAAAGCCAGGGGAGCAAACGGG
rnacentral:rRNA from 1 species